CUGGAGACAGGUGCUGCAUGGCUGUCGUCAGCUCGUGUCGUGAGAUGUUGGGUUAAGUCCCGCAACGAGCGCAACCCUUGCCUUUAGUUGCCAGCAGUUCGGCUGGGCACUCUAAAGGGACUGCCGGUGUUAAACCGGAGGAAGGUGGGGAGUGACGUCAAGUCCUCAUGGCCUUUAUGACCAGGGCUACACACGUACUACAAUGGCCGAUACAAAGGGCAGCGACACUGCGAGGUGAAGCCAAUCCCGUAAAAUACGGUCUCAGUCCGGAUUGGAGUCUGCAACUCGACUCCAUGAAGUUGGAAUCGCUAGUAAUCGUGGAUCAGCAUGCCACGGUGAAUACGUUCCCGGGCCGUUGU
rnacentral:rRNA from 1 species